CGUAGGGUGCGAGCGUUAAUCGGAAUUACUGGGCGUAAAGCGUGCGCAGGCGGUUUGUUAAGAUAGGCGUGAAAUCCCCGGGCUCAACCUGGGAACUGCGCUUAUGACUGGCAAGCUAGAGUACGGCAGAGGGGGUGGAAUUCCACGUGUAGCAGUGAAAUGCGUAGAGAUGUGGAGGAACACCAAUGGCGAAGGCAGCCCCCUGGGUCGAUACUGACGCUCAUGCACGAAAGCGUGGGUAGCAAACAGGAUUAGAUACCCUGGUAGUCCACGCCCUAAACGAUGUCAACUAGGUGUUGGGUGGGUAAAACCAUUUAGUACCGGAGCUAACGCGUGAAGUUGACCGCCUGGGGAGUACGGCCGCAAGGUUA
rnacentral:rRNA from 1 species